rnacentral:rRNA from 1 species
UGGGGAAUAUUGGGCAAUGGGCGCAAGCCUGACCCAGCAACGCCGCGUGAAGGAAGAAGGCUUUCGGGUUGUAAACUUCUUUUAUGAGGGACGAAAGAAAUGCGGUACCUCAUGAAUAAGCCACGGCUAACUACGUGCC